GCGCACGCGAUGACGGGAUCAGUAGGCAGGCUCGCGAGAGCAGAGCGAGCCGGGUUGGUGCGAGCCGGUCUCCGCCCCUGCCGAAACUCCUCCCCGAGCCGCGGAUCCGAACGCAUAGAGUAGGAUCCGCCGGUCGCCCACGAUACGGGUCCAAGCGCCCCCCGGCCGCGAUGCCGGUGGGGAACUAAGGUGGUACCGCGGGAACAUCUCGUCCUUGGG
rfam:Armatimonadetes bacterium RBG_16_67_12 RBG_16_scaffold_8968, whole genome shotgun sequence.